AGUAAGUCCUUAUGAUUCAACCAAAGGGCGUAUAAUUUAUCGACUACACAACAAAGAUUUAAAGGAUUAGGUUUUCAACUUCACCAUUCCUUUCGGGGGAAUACAAUUCGAGAUAAAAAAUUUCAAGAAACUUAUUUUCUUCCAAGAAAUAGAUUAAGAAUUAAGGUAAGGAAUGAAAAAUAUGAAAAUAAGAGCUUCCAUUCGUAAAAUUUGUGAAAAAUGUCGACUAAUCUGCAGGCGGGGACGAAUUAUAGUAAUUUGUUCCAACCCGAGACAUAAAUAAAGACAGGGAUAAUCAGACUUGCCAGAAGAGCUGAUGUAUAAAUAAAGAAUCUAUUUUGACAUGAAAUAGAUAUAUCCAUAUAUCUCUGACUCAUAUUUACGAGAUGAUAAAAUAUGGCAAAAGCUAUACCAAAAAUUAGUUUGCGUAGGAAUGGACGUAUUAGUUCACGUAAGGGUGCACGUAGAAUACCAAAGGGAGUUAUUCAUGUUCAAGCUAGUUUCAAUAAUACCAUUGUCACUGUUACAGAUGUACGGGGUCGAGUAGCUUCUUGGUCCUCCACUGGUACUUCUAGAUUCAAAGGUACGAGAAGAGGAACACCAUUUGGUGCUCAAACCGCAGCAGCAAACGCUAUCUGUACCAUAGUGGAUCAAGGUAUGCAAUGAGCAGAAGUCAUGAUAAAAGGUCCCGGUCUCGGAAGAGAUGCAGCAUUACGAGCUAUUCGUCGAAGUGGUAUACUAUUAACCUUCGUACGGGAUGUAACUCCUAUGCCACAUAAUGGCUGUAGACCUCCGAAAAAAAGACGUGUGUAGAGCUGAACAUUGAAGAAAUCUCAAGAGAAAUAAAAGAUUCGAUGAUCUAAUCAAAUAAUAGUACUAUGGUUCGAGAGAAAGUAACAGUAUCUACUCGGACACUACAGUGGAAGUGUGUUGAAUCAAGAACAGACAGUAAACGCCUUUAUUAUGGACGCUUUAUUCUGUCUCCACUUAUGAAAGGCCAAGCCGACACAAUAGGCAUUGCGAUGCGAAGAGCUUUACUUGGAGAAAUAGAAGGAACAUGUAUCACACGUGUAAAAUCUGAGAAAGUCCCACAUGAAUAUUCUACCAUAACGGGCAUUCAAGAAUCGGUACAUGAAAUUUUAAUGAAUUUGAAAGAAAUUGUAUUGAGAAGUAAUCUAUAUGGAACUUCUGACGCGUCUAUUUGUGUCAAGGGUCCUGGAUAUGUAACUGCUCAAGAUAUCAUCUUGCCGCCUUAUGUAGAAACCGUUGAUAAUACACAACAUAUAGCUAGUUUAACAGAACCAAUUGAUUUUUGUAUUGGAUUACAAAUAGAGAGAAAUCGUGGAUAUCUUAUAAAAACGCCACAUAACUUUCAAGAUGGAAGUUAUCCUAUAGAUGCUGUAUUCAUGCCUGUUCGAAACGCGAAUCAUAGUAUUCAUUCUUAUGGGAAUGGAAAUGAAAAACAAGAGAUACUUUUUAUCGAAAUAUGGACAAACGGAAGUUUAACUCCGAAAGAAGCACUUCAUGAAGCAUCCCGAAAUUUAAUUGAUUUAUUUAUUCCCUUUUUACAUAUGGAGGAAGACAAUUUAUAUUUACAGGACAAUCAACACACGAUUCCUUUAUCCCGUUUUACCUUUCAUGAUAAAUUGGCUAAACUCAUAAAAAAUUAAAAAAAAAUAGCAUUGAAAUCAAUUUUUAUUGACCAAUCAGAAUUGCCUUCAGGAUCUAUAAUUGCCUCAAAAUGUCCAAUAUAUAUACAUUAUUGGACCUUUUGAAUAACAGCCAAGAAGAUCUUAUGAAAAUUGAAUAUUUUCGUAGCGAAGAUAUAAAACAGAUAUUGGGCACCUUAGAAAAAUAUUUCAUAAUUAAUUUAGCAAAAAAUAAGUUUUAAAUCUAUUGGACUUAUUUAGUCAAAAUAGAUUGAAAUCUUUAGCACAAUUAAUAUAUCAUAUAUUAGAAAUAAAUUUAGAAUUAAAUUGACUAGAUGCAUCUAGGGAGAAUUCGCUUUGAAGAAACUAUUCCCUAAUACACAUGUCGUGUUAUUUCAUAAUUGAAUCAAUUAAAAAUAAAAAAUUUAAAAAAGGCCUAAAGUUAGGGAUUUAACAAUAGGUAAUGUUGCACCAAUGCCCAACCAAAGGGAGACUACGCUACCAAUCAAAAAGACAGUCGUCGCUACUGGACGGCGAAAUGGAUUUUGGAAUUUAUUAACAUUCUCUAAAAAAGGUACUAUUAAUAAUCCCGCAGGUACUGAAACCAUUAAAAGAACCCCCAACAAUUUAUUGGGCACUGUACGAAGUAUUUGAAAUACAGGAAAGAAAUACCAUCCAGGUAAGAUUUCCAAAGGGGUUGCAAAUGGAUCUGCCGGUUCACCAAUCAUUGAAGGUUCUAAAAUGGCUAAGCCUACAUUACAUGCAAUAGUACUUAGAAUUACUACUGGAAAAAUAUAAAAAAGAUCAUUGGGCCAUGCGGGCUAUCCAUAAUAAUUAUGACCCAUACCUUU
rnacentral:lncRNA from 1 species